GGCCGACUAGCUCAGUUGGUUAGAGCGUCGAGCUAAUAACUCGAAGGUCUUGGGUUCGACCUCCACGUUGGCCA
rfam:Amanita muscaria Koide BX008 unplaced genomic scaffold scaffold_178, whole genome shotgun sequence.